UCAUGGAUACUAGUCUGGUUCAUCACCACUGAGCCACCCCAGAACUCCUCACAUAUUAUUAUAGAUUUUAUUUCUUUACCUUGUUUCCUUCUUCUCUGGAAAUGUAAGCUCUAUUAGCACAGGAGUUUUUAUCUCUGUAGUUCUUUGCUCUAUCUCUAGCAUUUAGAACACUACCAUGUUAGUUUUUAAAAAAAAGUAAUACACAGAAACCUUGAUUAGAGUCAGGAGACCAGAAGGGGGAGCUCUCACAUCCUGAAGGAUAGCAGAGUCCAACAGGAAGACAGCUCCUUUCCUGGUAUGGACUCAGCCAAUGAAAAGCCAGGGUCCCUUUGUUUACUACAGCCCUCCCCACUUCCUUUCCCUCUAUAAAAGCAACCUUCUUUCCUUGCCCUGCAAGUAGCUCCCCAUGGUUGCAGACCCUGAAACAAUUCUCUGCUGAUCUGCAAUAAAUCCAUCUUUGCUGGAGAAACAGCUGGCAGUCUCUUUGCUUCAGGUCCUGAAGGAAGGAACCAACCGUUGAUAACAAUGGUUUGACUACAAAUUGACAGCGCUCUUUUCUGGAUGGCAAAGUAAGCGUAAUCAAGGGAAGACCAUGCCUGUAAUUAACUGUGAUUUCUGUUAAGAAAAAAAAAAAAAAA